rnacentral:RNase_P_RNA from 1 species
GCAGCAGGACAGAUAGCCGCCGGUCUGCAUUGCAGACGGGAGGAAAGUCCGGGCUCCGCAGGGCAGGGCGGUCGCUAACGGCGACCGGGGGCGACCCCAGGGAAAGUGCCACAGAAAGCAAACCGCCACGCGUUAGUGUGGUAAGGGUGAAACGGUGAGGUAAGAGCUCACCAGCGACCCUGGCGACAGGGCCGGCUUGGUAAACCCCGCCCGGAGCAAGACCGAAUAGGGAGGCGAUUCGUCUUUACGGCGAACAAGGGCUGCCCGCCCGAGGCCUCCGGGUAUGGUUGCUUGAGGCCGCGGGCAACCGCGGUCCUAGAGGAAUGGCUAUCAUCCCGCCAUCGGCGGGAGACAGAACCCGGCUUACGGACUGCUGCGGCA